rnacentral:rRNA from 1 species
CCGAAAGGCGUAGUCGAUGGGAAACGGGUUAAUAUUCCCGUACUUGGUGUUACUGCGAAGGGGGGACGGAGAAGGCUAUGUUGGCCGGGCGACGGUUGUCCCGGUUUAAGCGUGUAGGUGUGUGUUCCAGGUAAAUCCGGUUCACUUUAACACUGAGGCGUGACGACGAGGCACUACGGUGCUGAAGCAACAAAUGCCCUGCUUCCAGGAAAAGCCUCUAAGCAUCAGGUAACAUCAAAUCGUACCCCAAACCGACACAGGUGGUCAGGUAGAGAAUACCAAGGCGCUUGAGAGAACUCGGGUGAAGGAACUAGGCAAAAUGGUGCCGUAACUUCGGGAGAAGGCACGCUGACACGUAGGUGAAGUGAUUUACUCAUGGAGCUGAAGUCAGUCGAAGAUACCAGCUGGCUGCAACUGUUUAUUAAAAACACAGCACUGUGCAAACACGAAAGUGGACGUAUACGGUGUGACGCCUGCCCGGUGCCGGAAGGUUAAUUGAUGGGGUCAGCGCAAGCGAAGCUCCUGAUCGAAGCCCCGGUAAACGGCGGCCGUAACUAUAACGGUCCUAAGGUAGCGAAAUUCCUUGUCGGGUAAGUUCCGACCUGCACGAAUGGCGUAAUGAUGGCCAGGCUGUCUCCACCCGAGACUCAGUGAAAUUGAACUCGCUGUGAAGAUGCAGUGUACCCGCGGCAAGACGGAAAGACCCCGUGAACCUUUACUAUAGCUUGACACUGAACAUUGAGCCUUGAUGUGUAGGAUAGGUGGGAGGCUUUGAAGUGUGGACGCCAGUCUGCAUGGAGCCGACCUUGAAAUACCACCCUUUAAUGUUUGAUGUUCUAACGUGGACCCGUUACCCGGGUUGCGGACAGUGUCUGGUGGGUAGUUUGACUGGGGCGGUCUCCUCCUAAAGAGUAACGGAGGAGCACGAAGGUUGGCUAAUCCUGGUCGGACAUCAGGAGGUUAGUGCAAUGGCAUAAGCCAGCUUGACUGCGAGCGUGACGGCGCGAGCAGGUGCGAAAGCAGGUCAUAGUGAUCCGGUGGUUCUGAAUGGAAGGGCCAUCGCUCAACGGAUAAAAGGUACUCCGGGGAUAACAGGCUGAUACCGCCCAAGAGUUCAUAUCGACGGCGGUGUUUGGCACCUCGAUGUCGGCUCAUCACAUCCUGGGGCUGAAGUAGGUCCCAAGGGUAUGGCUGUUCGCCAUUUAAAGUGGUACGCGAGCUGGGUUUAGAACGUCGUGAGACAGUUCGGUCCCUAUCUGCCGUGGGCGCUGGAGAACUGAGGGGGGCUGCUCCUAGUACGAGAGGACCGGAGUGGACGCAUCACUGGUGUUCGGGUUGUCAUGCCAAUGGCACUGCCCGGUAGCUAAAUGCGGAAGAGAUAAGUGCUGAAAGCAUCUAAGCACGAAACUUGCCCCGA